AGGGGCUCGCGUGGGAGCCUCGUGGGCCCCUGGCUCGGGUGGGAGGUGGUCAGUGGCGCCCCCUGCAGGUGGGCGGUGGUCAGGGCGCCCCCUGCAGGUGGGUGGUGGUUAGGGGCCCCCUGCAAGUGGGUAGUGGUCAGGGCGCCCCCUGCAGGUGGGAGGUGGUCAGGGGGCCCCCUGCAAGUGGGUAGUGGUCAGGGCGCCCCCUGCAGGUGGGUGGUGGUCAGGGGACCCCUGCACGUUGGAGGUGGUCAGGGGCGCCCCCUGCAGGUGGGUAGUGGUCAGGGCGCCCCCUGCAGGUGGGUGGUGGUCACGGGCGUCUCCUGCAGGUGGGUGGAGGUUAGCGGUGCCCCCUGCAGGUGGGUAGUGGUCAGGGGCGCCCCUGCAGGUGGGUGGUGGCUAGGGGCUCCCCCUGCAGGUGGGUGGUGGUUAGGGGACCCCUGCAGGUGGGUGGUGAUUAGGGGGCCCCCUGCAGGUGGGUGGUGGUCAGGGGCGCCCCCUGCAGGUGGGAGAUGGUCAGGGGCAUCCCCUGCAGGUGGGCGGUGUUUAGGGGCGCCCCCUGCAGCCCAGAACCCCGGCUUCUUGGUGGACCUAAUCCUGAGCAAGGAACCGAGGGGUGGGCUUUGAGGGAAGACCCAGCAGACCUCCUGUCCGGGUUCCCCAGGAGGAGGCAGAGGGGCGUCCCGGGUGCAGGGAGGGGCGGGCCCCAGGGAGGCCCCAGGACAGGGGACUUCAGUUGCCACCUUC